rnacentral:rRNA from 1 species
AUGCAGCAACUUGCUAGUGAGUCCUGGUCUGUGGCAGUUGAUCGCGCAUGUGGGGGGCUUCUGGAUGCAUUUAUUGUCACGUGUUAUAAGGAUUUACAUGUUUUGCGAGAAUGUGCAAGUAAAGUGAAUUUCAAUAACCUUCGAAUUAUUGUGUAUGAUUUUACUAGGCCACGAUUGAUCAUUCCUGAUGGUUCACUUCCUACAACAGAGCACCCUACAGUACUAUCAGUUAUUCAGUCAGAAAAUCACACUGUGCUGAAUGUAUUGGUGGAUCAAGGUCAUGCUGAAAGGCAGGUCCUGGUUAAAGAUUAUGAAGUCGGAAAAUCUCUUGCAUUUGAUGAUAGGAUGCGGAAUAUAAAGGAAGUGUAUACUUCUGAUGGAGACAAAAUAUUCCUGCUUAUCAAUUUAGAUUUGAUGAAUCACCAUCUUGCAAUUUUAGCGGGAGGUGAUUUCUCUAUGAUUGUAACAUGGCUCCACAAUGGUGCCCUUAGAUUUGUAGGUACAGUAGGAGGUUCAGCAGAGCCAUCUGGAGGAGAUGGUUAA